rnacentral:rRNA from 1 species
CAGUAAGGUAUAGGAAAACUAAAUCAUAUAGUAACUGUGAUAUUUAAUAGUGGACCCUGUACAAUCCUACAUCUUAAGUCCUUACCUGCCUUCUAGACGGAAGCGGACAUAAAACCACUAUGAACACAACAAUCCUUCGUGAUGAAUACGUCUCUUAACAUUCACCCUUGCGAUAGACGAGCGCGAGACGUGGCUUACUAGUACGUUUUUCUAUACGAGUAAUCUGACCCCACUGUUCCAGGCGGUCGAAGCUACACUUUCCUAUGAAUCCAACGAGCUUUCUACAAACUACUGCACUGAGAAGAUGAUAGAUGGUUUAAUUUCUCCUAAUUCUUCUAUAUACGUUGUUGUUUUUCGACUUAAUUUCCUCUGUGUUUGUAGUUGUCUUCCUUUAUACCCUCCUUCGAAAAGUGUUUAUGAUACAAGCAUUACAAAUUUAAAAACGGAGUCUGUUGGAGGGAGAGUAUAAAUAACGUGACAAAUCUGUUCUUUAAACCUCUUUCACUUAUAUUCUAACCAAUACAAUAAAGUCGGGGAUAUAUUAUACACGUACACCGUGAGUUCAUAGUUUGGACGGCUAACAUGGAGAAUAAAAUCCCCGUGGAUGUCCAACAUCAAUCGCACUGAUCCAGACCGAUAAAGGAGG